rnacentral:lncRNA from 1 species
UAGCCUGGUUAUAUUAAAUUUAAAAGUAUGUCUCCAGCAAAGGCUAGCUUACAGCAAUUUUGGAAAUGUGUUAAGGUAAUUAAGAACAAUUAUAUGACACUGUAAGCAGUUUCUAGAAGGGCCAGCAAGGAUAAUUUGUCUAAAAAUUUUCAAUACAUUCAUGCAAAAGUGUUUCUUCUGAGCAUGCUUGCAGCACACUCUUGCCUGAAGAAAGAAAGGACUGAUUUAAUAAAAAGAAACAUGGUUACAUGUGAGACAUCAUGCACAGUCUCUAAAAUUAAAAUGGGAAAAUGUCAGGAGGAAAUAAGUAACACAUUGGGUAUGUGGUGGUCUUCAGUGUGGACACAGAUAUAUCAUGUUUUGGUUUUAAUUUUAAGCACAACUACACAGUACAUUUUUAUGACAUUUCCUUUUUUAUACUUUUUGUAUUUUUUCCACUAUUCAUAAAAUAUAAUUUAUUUUCAACCAGUGUUGUAUGUGUUUCAGGUAGAUUUUUUUCCCAACUCUCCAAUAAUCAUAAAAUUUUUCUCAAAAUAAUCAAAAGCAUCAGUGUGAUUUUUUUUUUUUUUUUUGGUUGGUUGUUUUCUGGUAAUAUGCAUUCUGAACUUAUCCAUCCUCCUGUUCAAAACAAUGGGCAGUGGGCAACAAGGCUGUCCUACUGUCCCAGAGAUGUCUUUCUGAGGAUUUGCUUUUCUGUUAUUCAAGAAAAUCCCUUUGUCCUCUUUUCUAUUGGAUCUAGUGUCUUCUCUGUGUGUUGUCUUCUGAUUUUUCAAUUGUGCAUAUCUCCAGGAACUCCUGGGGACAAGGUACAUAGGAGGGCUUUUUAAAAUGCUACACGUAUUAUCUCCUUUACAUUCAAUAGGUAAUUUAGUUAGGGUACAAUUCUAAAUUUCAUCAAAAUUUUACAGGCAUUACAGUUUAAUUCUCAUUUCCUAUGUUUCACCUUCAGAAGUUAAUAUGAUUUUGAUUUUGAUUCCUUCAUAUUGUGAUAUUUUAAUUGUUCUUUCUUUUCUAUGGAAAUUCUCCGAAUCAGCUCUUUCUCCUGGUGUUCUGAACAGUCUUGAUUAUGCACUUUGAUAUACACUUUAAAAAAUUCAUUUCAUUGGGUUCUAAGUGCGUCCAUUUGAUUCUGAGAAAUACACCUCUGUUAUUUUUUUUAAUAAUCUGCUCCCCUCCUUUCUCUUUCCAGAAGUCCUAUGAUUAGAUAUUUGAUUUCCAGGACUGAGCAUUGAUUUUUCAUAUAUAUUUUUUAACACUUUCAGCUCUCUUUCCCCCAUCUUCCCCCUACACUCUGUUUUGAAGAAUAUUUUUUAAGAAAUAUUUUCAUUAAACACUUUCACUCUGAUAAAUAUUUAAUAAGCAGCUCUGAGGCAAAAUGUAUGCAUAUAGAUGUACAUGCAUGUUCGAUAUAACUUUGAUAUAAGGGAUUGUAGAAUGAAACUUACAAACAAUAAAACAUAUAUAUAUAUUUUUUAUGGCCACUCCUUCACAUUAUGGAGGUUCCAGGCUAGAGGUAGAAUUGGAGCCACAGCUGCUGGCCUACACCACAGCCACAGAAACACCAGAUCCCAGUUACUUCUGUGAAUUACACUGCAAUGUAGCUCACAGCAAUGCCAGAUCCUUAACCCACUGAGCAAGGCCAGGGAUCGAACCUGUGUCCUCAUGGGUACUAGUCAGGUUCAUUACUGCUGAGCCACAAGGGUAACUUCCUAAGAUAUUCUUAAUUUUGAAUUCCAAAUAGCAAUUGAUUCUCAUAGGAUGCUUUCACUUGAUGUUUGCAGAAUUAUUAUAUCUAUAUCAAAUGAUGGUUGUGAUUCAUAAACCAUUAUUCUGGCAUUAAUAUUAUUUGAUAUAUUCAUUUGCUUUAAUAAGUGAAACAAAACAAAGACAUAUGUUGGAGACCUCAGUUAUUCUUCAAUGACAUGAGCUAAAAAGAACAGAUUCUAGUUUCUCUAGAAAGUGCUAAGACCUCACCACACUGGGCCUACAAUUGUGCCUGGCUGCUCUGCAGAGAAGUGAGGGUGACACUGUUCAACCAAUCCCUAUGACCCACUUGGAUCAUAAAGACUAUUUAGUUUACAAUCCCAAGUCCUGCAGGUUACAUGGCCUAUACUCAGAAAACAAAGCAACUAAUAAAAUGUUCUCGUUCGUAAUAUGACAAUUAGACAUUUUCAUGGGAAUUCAAACGAACUCUAUUAAUCUUGAAAUCUGAGAAUUUAACUUAUGGAAGUGGAACUUAAGUACUAAAGCAUAAAAGAUAUAUAUUUUUAAAAGAAUCUAAAGGUUUUUCAUCUGGUUAAAUUUUCAACAGUGUCUAGUAUGCUAACAUAAUUACCACUAGUUUAUCUGUUUUUAUUUAAACAUUUUAUUCUAUUGCUACUUAAUCUCUUAUUCAUUUUGUGAUUUGGGGUUAAUGGCUUUGUAAAUCCAUGACUCCCACACAGUGGUGUUUCCAGGAAGGGUCAAAAUAAAGUAUGUAUUUAAUUUGUCAUGUUUUACAAAGACUGUCUAAUUUCUUUUCUAUUUACUUUAUUCUGGGUUUUGUUAACACUACUUUACUAACAAUGAUUUUUUGAUCACCAAUAAACUAUUUGCUAUCAAAUCCAUGGACAUUUCUUUGCAACCAAUUUUCUCAAACUUCUGGCAAUAUUUAGCACAAUGGACUAUUCUUUUUCUUUUGAAAUACACACUUGACUUAUAUGACUUUUUUCAGUUCCAGCUGACUACCUCUACUCUAAAUGAUCUCUCAAUAUCCUUCUUUAAAUAUUCUGCUCUCUAUCCUGUUCUUUCACAUCAAUUCAGGUAAAGCACAACACUGAUGAGCCUCAAAUCUCCAGCACCAUGCCUCCUUCCUGAGAUCUCAACCUAUCUGUUUAUCUCCAAGUUACAUCUCAUAAAGUACUUGACAAGACUCUUUUAUCUUCCAUUCUCCUUCCUCCUGGUCAGUGGGGUUCAGCACUCAUACCUAUAAGCUGACAAGCCUGAUUCCUCUCUCUCCAUUAACACACACAUUCAAUUCAUCAGCGAGUCCUGUUGAUUCUGGUCUCCAAAUACAUAACUCGAGCCUAUUUAUCUCUUACCUGGACUCUGAUAAGCCACUAUUAAAUAUUUCUUAUGAUUCCUUCUUGCUCCCAUACCCACAAUUUAACUCUUCCAUCACAGCAUAGAUGGCCUUAAAAUGUCCCUUAAUAUGAUUUAUAAGACUCAGAAUGAUCUCUCUAAUCAGCAGACAGUUCUCCAAAUUCCUUUUCUUUCCUGCUUAAUUUUUUAGGCAGAGCUAUCUUCAUUUUGUCUGUUAAACUUGACAAUGUUUUUUCAAGGAUUCUGUAUAUUCUACAUUUGCUGUAGUUCUUUUCCUCACAACUGAAUGGCUGUCAUAAUUUUAUCUUUUGAUAUUAAGUUAUCUUCAUCAGAGAACAUUUUCUCAAACACUAUUUUUUACCUUCAUAGCAUGUAUCACAACUUAGAAUCAUUUAUAAACAUAAUAGUUAAAGGAUUUUUUUUUCCAGUUAAAGAUUUGCAAGUGAAUGAAUAUUUUCUGCCUGAUAUCUCACUGAUUUUUCAACAAAUAGCCUACUAACUCAUAGUAAGUUCUCAUCAAAUAUUAGUCAAUUUAAUGAACAAUAGCACUGACUUUUAUCAUAGAUGGAUACGACUUUUCAUAACAUCAUAGUUUGUAUCCUAACCAUUAAAAAGUAGGUUAAGGUGAUUGUAAUAAUGAUUUAUUCAUAAUAUUCCUCCUUAUUAGUGUUUAAAUAGAGGAAUGUCAUGAUUUAUGAUAUCACAUUAUGUAUUACUUGAGCUUUCAGUAUUCUGUGCUUGUGUUAAAACUUUCAUUGGUUCAAGUAGCCAUAAUUGGACACCAACAGUAGUUGAGAACAAAUUUAUAAUUGUAUAUAUUGCAUCUAGAAAGGAAAACAAGCAAAUGUCUGAGCAAGCUUGCCUAGAAUACCCAAGUUCACUGUAUUGCUGCAUUGUAUCUACAGAGACAGCAAGUUCUCACUGUCUUCUUUCUGCAAGUUAACUUCAGUGAAGUUUGUAGAUGUAGCUCCUGUGAUUGUCACCACUCUUUAAUUACUCUGAAGAUGUAAAGGACAUACAGUUUAGAGGCAUCAGCUUGAAUCACACCCAUCAAGAUGGAAUGCAAACUACAGAUCUCUUACUGGUCAGUGAAUCUAAUAAUCUUUCAAGAUAAUCUAAUUAUCCUGAUAUCCAGUCUCUGCAUAUACCAAAUGAGUUUUCAUUGUAUCUGCACAUCAAUAAACAUUUCAUCAUCUUUAGGAUGAUUCUCUGAAAGCGUUCUUCCCAUGUAUUCACUGUCUCCUGCCAAUUCAAGUUAAGAGUAAAUUCUCAGAAUAAAUCAUGCACAACUCUUGGAGCCAAUGUAUCUUUAACAUCUUCCUGCUGUAAUAGUUUGGGGCAGGAGGAAACUAUGGCCCAUGGGGGAAAUUUGGUUCACCACCUAUAAAUAGUUUUAUUGGAAAAGAUCCACCCUCAUUUGUUUUCAUAUUCUCUAUGGCUGCUUGAGCUACAACAGUAGAGCUGAGUAGUUGCAACAGAAAUUGUAACAUCAAAAUACUAUCUGACCCACUGCAGAAAAUGCUUGCUGAUACCUGGUUUGACACUGGCUGAGACCCCUCGAUUGUGCUGGCCUCAGGGAGUCCAGCUAUGAGAUGAGAAUGCUAGCUUCUGCCAUCUCAUGUUUCUUUCCUAUGUUCACUGGUUUGGCUGUGUCUGGCUUUAUAGAUCCAGACUGCAUUAGCAUUCAUGUCAAUAGUAUAAAUUUAUUUUUCUGCUCUUCCCUUUCCUAGUUUGAACACAUUAAAUAAAUAUGGUAUGCUCAGUAGAACAAUUAUUAAUGGUAACAGAAUGAAGAAUCAAUAUUUUCUGUCUCUAAUAUAUUUUUCAUUCCUCAUUGAAAGGUGAGGAAGGGAUCUUGCAUGAAAAGAAUAAGUCAAAAUUUGGGACAUAUUAGUAGACCUAAAGGUUUUUGUUUUGUUUUUUUUGUUUUUAAUUUAAACAUCUUUGGCAAAAUAUAUUACAAUUAAGAUAGAACUUUGAGUUCCCAUUGUGGCUCAGCAGGUUAAGAACCUGACUAGUAUCCAUGAGGAUGCGGGUUCAAUCCCUGGCCUCACUCAGUGGGUUAAAGAUCCAGCACUGCUGUGGCUGUGGCUGUGGCAUAGGCUGGCAGCUGUGGCUUCUAUUCAACCCCUAGCCCAGGAACUUCCAUAUGCCUACAGGUGCAGCC